rnacentral:rRNA from 1 species
CAGGGUGCUAGGUUAGAGGGGGCUGGGGAGCGGGAGCAAGGGCAGAGACGUGCAAGUUACGGGUUUCUUGGGUGUGCAAGAGGUGGAGGAGCGAGGGAGGGCGUUCGGGUUUGGUGAGGCAGGUGGUGCCGGCUAUGCCGGCGACGGUACCGGGUAGAGGGGGAGGGAUAGAGGUGGUGGCGCAGCACGAAGUGGCGCCAUGUAGGGUCGCGGCGGCGACGACGUGGGGCGGGAGAGAGGUUCCGCUACCGCCACUACCGCCUCCGGGCUUUGGGCUAUAGGAGACGUCGGGCGGUUGUGACCUAUACCUUCUGGUGCUGCCUUCGCCAGUACACCAUCCUCCACAACGCGCCCUCUUACGUUGCCGCCCCUCCCUCCAACCCCAACAGGCUCGAUACCACUUACAGCUCCUCCACCUCUUCAUGCGUGAACCGUCGCACCCGUCCCACGAACGGCCUUACGGUGUUUCUACCCGCGGUGGCACGAGUGGCCACCACAGUUAAACCGCCAGUUGAUGUCGACGCAGUGGCGAAGGCGCGAGACGGAAAAGUCCGUACCGUUAGAGUUCCGCCACCCAGAACGAAGGCUCAUAUUAAAUGGAGAAGCACACAACACGCGGAAAAACUUGACGCACCGGGCGCUGUGGGUCUUCGCGCAGCAGCCGCGCGAGGAGCCGUGGAGGAGGGCGCCGCAGCAGCUGUAGUGGUUGAGGAUGCGACACGCUUAACUCCUCCUACUGUUCCUGGACUCUUAAACCAAGGAGCUGUUUUUCUUGGUACGACAAAAUCUUAAGAGUAGUCCAUACGACCUGAACGGCACACGCCAAAUAAAGACGACACAUGACUACUCAACAAACCCUACGUCGGUUCCUCGUACAACAACCGACGGACUUGAGAAGCUGGCGCGCGUUCCCAAGUAGGACGGUAGCAGGUGGGACGGACGUAUACGUCCUCGGCAUCGGGUCGUAGUGGGACACGUCGACGCCGUGCCCCGCUAUCGGAGCCGUGUCGACGUGCCGGAGUUGUAGGGGCAACCACAACGGACGACAGGGACCUAGGUCCUUUCUGUCACCCCCGCUAACCGCUGAACCACCACGCCGACGCCUGUUGUCUAAUUCCUCCGUUUCUUCUGUACGCUGUUUCUCUCAGAAUUCCCUCUUCUAUAUCCUUCUUCAAAACGCGAGCUGUUAAAGUACAAUUAUCUUCGAAAGGCGAGCACCGGAAGUAGUAGGAAGGAACCACGCCUUGACCCAUUGGUGGGAUCGGUUCAUACCUCGCGCUAGUAACUUCCCUUCCUACACUACUUCCUACUCUACUACGCGGGUAUGCUAACGAAUUACCUAUUGGGGGUACGGGCGCACAGACCUGAAUAACUGUGUUGUUGCUGCUGUACCUAGCCCAGUUAGUUUGGAAAGAGAGCUAACUAUGUGGACGAUAUGACCCCUAGGGAGAAACAUGUUCCUUGUAGAGACUAUAAACCGGAACCUUAAAACUUUUCUUGCCUUAAAAAAAAGCACGCCAGCCGGAUACGAUACAACUAACGUUGCUCCUUUGCUGCGCUCCGCACCGGCCUUCCGCGACAACCUAGAAAUUUAAGUCUACUACUGUGGAUACAAUCAUGUUGGAGAGGUUCUCAUUAAGCUGGUUUUCGUGGGGGAGUUCCAAAACGUUUUUGAGCACACCUACGUCGAUAUCUUUCUUUAGUCUCCCCUCCUUGCCGCCGGCGCCAGACAGUACUACUUGCCCCACUUAUAUAACCGUCGAGCCGCGACCAGUAGAGUCCGUACGUACUGCAACGUUGAGAGCUCCGCUAGCGAACAGCACUCCGAGAGAGUGAUUGACUUCUAGAGGAAGUUUUGAAGCAAUAACGGUACACU